rnacentral:lncRNA from 1 species
CGCGGACCGGGAGUGCCGCUGGGGGGGGAGCGGCCUGGGGCACGGUACCGCCCCCGCCGCCGCCGCCGCCCCACGCAUGCUCCGCCACCGCCACCGCGCCGGAGCGGAGCGGAGCGGGACGGGACCGCGCCGGAGCCGCCGUCGCCGCAGGGUCUCCAGGCCACAGCCCUGUGGCCCCAGCAGCGAGAGCAGCCCCUGAGUCCCGCUUGAGGCUCAGUCGCACUGAGGGACGGCUAUUUUUGUGGUAGGUGGCUGACACUGUCCUUCCCUUCCUGGGGUGGGCACUGUGCUGGAGCACUCUGGGCGCAGCCAGACCUGUUGUCACCUGUGGCGUGGCAAGAAGCAGUUGGUGACUGAUGAUGCCCGGCUCACCACCCUAUCACCUCUCUUGCAGGACUAGCAU